CUUUCUGCUGAAAGCAUGGUGCUGGGCUUUAACUCUUCCCUGAGCUCAUCUGCCAAAAGCAGGCUCCUUGCGGGCUGCCUAGGCUUCCAUGCAGAAUAUAUUUCCUUUAGCAGACCCCAGUGAGCCACUUCUUGCACCAGAUAUAUCUUCUGGGUUGGCGGAAGGAAGGGCUGCUCAGCCCAGGGGGAGCCAGCACGAGUGGCUGCGGAUGAAGGACAUGCUGAGUGCCAUCCAUCACAGGCUCUGCAGGGCCAAGGAAGACUAGCUGGCUGUUUGUCAGCCUGCCCCACCACAUUUUACCAGGUGGCAUCCUCCUGCCCUUAAUUAUUGUCAUUAUUAUUACUAGCUUUCUCCAGACAUAACUGGGUCCAAAAUCUCUGUGGUGCCAAGAGCUCAGCUACUCUCUGCACUGACAGCGUUCCAAGUCUGAGCUUUUCUUCCCUUUGCAAACAUUACAGAUGAAUGAAGUGCUCUGUUCCCUCAUUUGUUUUACUACUUCCAGCGCAGGAUGGCUCCAGCUUCAUGUAGAGGAGGGAAGAGCAGGAGGAGGGGGGGAGGGAGUACAACACAUCAGGAGGGCUGUACAUGCCUCCAGGCUCCUGCUCCCAGGGGACUUCCUGAAUGAAUGGAUCGUGAUCUGCUCCAUUAUCCUCGGAUAAUCGACCAAUUGUCUCUUUAAACCCUUGCACCUGCACGUUGAUGUCUGCAAAACAUUCUCAUUGCUUUUCUACUGGUGUUUGCCAGCGGAAGCUACAGGAGGGACCUCAUUAGGUUUCCAGGUUGAUGUAGUCUGUGAUGAAGAGUAGCCUGUGGACUUCUCCUGAGUGGAUCUGUGUCUCUCAUAGGGUUGCAGAAGUGCCCUCUGCCCAAUUGCAAAGCCCGUGAGAGCUGCAGGAUCUGAGUGUGGAUGAGUCAUGCAGACAGCACAAGUGCAACCAAUGGAGCCAGAUCAGACCGCUGACAAGAGAAGGUGCCUGAGGAGUGCAAUGGAACGGGGGGUGAUCCUUGCAAGGCGGUAUUUCAAAAGCGUAAUUGAAAUCCUUGCCAUGUGCUCUGCUCUCUUAGCUCCACAGCCAGCGCCUCCCUUGCCUUCCCCAGCUCUCACAAUAGAUGGGUUUUACCCAACCUGGUGCCUCUCAAGGUAAGAGCAGUUUCCAUGUGCUCACCAAACUGCAGUGGUCUCCUCUCACUCCCACAUUGACAAUUGAUAUAGACAGGAGAGGCUGCACCCAAGGAGAGCCUAUAGAAAAGCAGACCUGGAGAAGGUGCCAGAAUUACAGAGUAGGGUCCAGGGGGUGAUAUACGUUUCCUAAAGGCACACAAAGCUUUUGGCAGGAGGUGGGUUUCCUCUUACUCCA
rnacentral:lncRNA from 1 species